CUACGGGAGGCACCAGUGGGGAAUAUUGCACAAUGGGCGCAAGCCCGAUGCAGCCAUGCCGCGUGUAUGAAGAAGGCCUUCGGGUUGUAAAGUACUUUCAGCGGGGAGGAAGGGAGUAAAGUUAAUACCUUUGCUCAUUGACGUUACCCGCAGAAGAAGCACCGGCUAACUCCGUGCCAGCAGCCGCGGUAAUACGGAGGGUGCAAGCGUUAAUCGGAAUUACUGGGCGUAAAGCGCACGCAGGCGGUUUGUUAAGUCAGAUGUGAAAUCCCCGGGCUCAACCUGGGAACUGCAUCUGAUACUGGCAAGCCUGAGUCUCGUAGAGGGGGGUAGAAUUCCAGGUGUAGCGGUGACAUGCGUAGAGAUCUGGAGGAAUACCGGUGGCGAAGGCGGCCCCCUGGACGAAGACUGACGCUCAGGUGCGAAAGCGUGGGGAGCAAACAGGAUUAGAUACCCCUGUAGUC
rnacentral:rRNA from 1 species